rnacentral:rRNA from 1 species
GUCGAGAAUCUUUCACAAUGGGGGCAACCCUGAUGGAGCGACGCCGCGUGGAGGAUAAGGUCUUCGGAUUGUAAACUCCUGUCAUGCGUGAACAAGGUUGCUUGGUUAAUACCUGGGCAAAUUGAUGGUAACGCAAGAGGAAGAGACGGCUAACUCUGUGCCAGCAGCCGCGGUAAUACAGAGGUCUCAAGCGUUGUUCGGAAUCACUGGGCGUAAAGGGUGCGUAGGUGGCGUGGUAAGUCAGAUGUGAAAGCCCGGGGCUCAACCUCGGAACUGCAUCCGAUACUGCCAUGCUAGAGUACUGGAGAGGUGACUAGAAUUCUCGUUGUAGCAGUGAAAUGCGUAGAUAUCGAGAGGAAUACCAAAGGCGUAGGCAGGUCACUGGACAGUUACUGACACUGAGGCACGAAGGCCAGGGGAGCGAACGGGAUUAGAAACCCGUGUAGUCC